UAACGCGUGGGUAGCCUGCCUCACACAGGGGGAUAACAGUUAGAAAUGACUGCUAAUACCGCAUAACCCGAUAGGAUCGCAUGAUCCAGACGGAAAAGAUUUAUCGGUGUGAGAUGGACCCGCGUCUGAUUAGCUAGUUGGUGAGGUAACGGCCCACCAAGGCGACGAUCAGUAGCCGGCCUGAGAGGGUGAACGGCCACAUUGGGACUGAGACACGGCCCAA
rnacentral:rRNA from 1 species